UACGUAGGUGACAAGCGUUGUCCGGAUUUACUGGGCGUAAAGAGCGCGCAGGCGGUCGAUCAAGUCGAGUGUGAAAGCCCCCGGCUCAACUGGGGAGGGUCAUUCGAAACUGGUCGACUCGAAGGCAGGAGAGGGUAGUGGAAUUCCCGGUGUAGUGGUGAAAUGACGUAGAUAUCGGGAGAACACCAGUGGCGAAGGCGACUACCUGGCCUGUUCUUGACGCUGAGGCGCGAAAGCUAGGGGAGCAAACGGG
rnacentral:rRNA from 1 species